ACCUGGGUGGCUCAGUUGGUUGAGUGUCUGACUUCAGCUCAGGUAAUGAUCUCACGGUUCGUGGGUUCGAGCCCCACGUUGGGCU
rnacentral:tRNA from 1 species